rnacentral:rRNA from 1 species
ACGUAGGGUGCGAGCGUUAAUCGGAAUUACUGGGCGUAAAGCGCACGUAGGCGGACAUUUAAGUCAGGGGUGAAAUCCCAGAGCUCAACUCUGGAACUGCCUUUGAUACUGGGUGUCUCGAGUAUGGAAGAGGUAAGUGGAAUUCCGAGUGUAGAGGUGAAAUUCGUAGAUAUUCGGAGGAACACCAGUGGCGAAGGCGGCUUACUGGUCCAUUACUGACGCUGAGGUGCGAAAGCGUGGGGAGCAAACAGGA